ACAUACGACCAUAGGCACCUGGGCAAAAACUCGGGAUCCCGUCCGCUCUCCCCUAGAUAAGUCGGUGACCGCCAGACUAGUAGUCGGAUCGGUGACGACCGGCGAAUAACCUGGUGUUGUAUGUU
rnacentral:rRNA from 1 species